GUGACCGACUUCGAAGAUGUAUUGACCUGCUGCGGCUUUGAGUAACGUACAUAAUGCAUGCGGUAUUCGACGAAAGCGAUUUCAAGCAAUAAAACGUUAUGGACUUUUUUCAUAGAAUUCAACGCUGAUCAUCUCUUACUGUGAAGAUUCAGAGAAAGAUCAGGAAACACUAUUGAUAAUAUCGAUAAGGGAAACAACGAUAUUUUAAUAAAAAUGACUAUAGUCCUUCAAAGUUCUUGCCGUCUGACUGCGCACAGAAACCAAACGCAGGAGGCAAAU
rnacentral:misc_RNA from 1 species